GUCAACGGCCGAAAGAAAGAAAUUGAAAGAUAUCGCUUCUUCCCUCCUUUGCAACGGCGAUGGCGAUGAUAAAGAAACCCUCAAUCCAGAAACUCUGAGUCCUUGGAUUUGGCAGGCAAGUCAUUUCCAUCUCCCAACACAAUUGAUUCUUCUCGUUUUAUUACCGCAUUUUCUCCAUUAUUAUGAUUUCAAUUGCUCGCAAUAAUCUCUCCUGCUUGUUUUCAAACCCUAAUUCAUACCUCUGCAACCCCAAUGUUCUCUCAUUCCACUUUUUCUCCGCUGCGAGAGCCAAAAGAUUCAUAAUCCCUUCCCCUGAAAUUUACGAUGUGUUGGUCCAUAACCACCAAUUUUCUCCUGAAUUGGCUGCACAUGCUUCAUCGCGCUUACCUAAAUUCAGAAGUCCCGAAAGAGCUGAUUCAAUACUGUCGUUCCUCAAAGAAAAUAGCUUUACGACUACUCAGCUGGAGAAACUCGUCAUACAUAAUCCUCGGAUUCUAGGAUUUACUAUUGAGGGUUUUAAAUCCAGACUCAAGGUAUUCCAAGACUUGGGGCUUUCUUCCGAGGAGAUUGCCAAGAUAAUUUCCAGUAAUCAGGGGAUUUUGCAUUCAUGUAUGGCCAGCAAAGUCAUUCCUUCCUUAUCGAUGCUAAAGGCCUUGCUCGGAUCCAAUGAUGAGGUGGCCAGACUUCUAAAAAAAUGCGCAUGGUUUUUGACACACGAUUUGGAAAAAACCUUAAUGCCAAAUGUGGAAAUCUUGAAGAGCUGCAGUAUACCAAUCGAGCGUAUCCUUCAUUUCCUCUACACUAAUCCAAGAUGUUUCUUGGUCAAACCGGAUAUUAUGAGAAAAUCUGUAGACGGGGCCAUCAAAUUUGAAGUUCCUCAGACUUCGACUGCUUUUAUCUAUGCUGUUGCAGCUCUCUCUCAUACGAGUGAAGGGAUGUGGGAAGUCAAGUUGGAAACUCUCCGUGAUUUGGGAUUUUCUGAUGACGAUAUAUUCACAAUGUUUAGGAAGCAACCUAAUGUGUUUUCAGCAUCCACAAAGACAAUGAAGAAUAAAAUAGAGCUUCUGCUUGCUACCGGGAAGUACAAUAUCGCCAAUAUUGUCUCUAACUCAACGGCCCUUGGGCGCAGCAUUGAGAAGAGGCUUCAGCCACGGCUGCAAAUUCUGGGACUCAUGGAAAGUAGGAAUCUCAUUCAACAAUGGCCUUCUCUUUCAAGAGUUGCUUCAUUUACAGAUGAUAGAUUCUUUGAGAGAUUUAUUAGGCCCUAUUAUGAUAAGAUUGGUGAAGAAAACAUCACAAAGAUAUUUGGCGGAAGGCAGAAAAAGAUAGAUCUAUAAGAAGUGGUAUGCCGGAGUUCUUCAGAAAAGUGGUCUAGUCUUUGAAGUGUUUCUAAAUCUACAUAUUAUAACUUUUUGGAGAACUUUGUUAGGCCUUUCUAUGAGGAGAUUGGCCAAGCACAAUAUAUUCAAGCGCAAAGGGGAGAUGAAGCUUUAAUUGAAUGCUCAAGAAAGUUGUAUGAAGUUUUAAUGCUUAGUUAGGUUGCCCUAAAAUUUGGUAAAAUGGGGGAGAAGAAGAAGGCAGGUGCUAUGUUGGUUGGUAUCGGCAGCUGGAACAUGAUUCUUCUAUGUGGUGAAGAAGACGAAGAGGCUCCACAGCAACAACAUCAAGCUGGAAUUCCGAGAGUAUAUGAUCCUUGCGUCAAUUGCCAUGUUUUCUUCACCGUGUCUGUCGCCAAGAUGAAGUCAGUAUAACUCCUAUUUUUGAUUUGCUGUGGAUAGAAAUUCAAGUUCAAAUUUGAAUUGAUUUGGCUUCUCAUUUUGAUUACUCUCUGCAAUUUAUGCAUUUGCAAUAUAAUUUAACUUUAGAGCAAGUUUAUUUUUGAGGAUGAAUCUAGAAUAAAAAUAGUAUAGGCUAAUAUAUUGUCUACUAAGAUAAGAUUGAUUCGAAUUUUAGGAUAGUCGUUUAUCAGUUCUAUCAUUUGAAUUAAUUUUGUGUGAUUCAUAUAUCAUUAAUAGGAUGGUAUUAGAGAAAUCCUAAUCAUAAGGAUAUAUAUAUAUAUAUAUAUAUAGGGGAGGCUAGAAUAAAAACACUCUUAAGUGUAUAAAAUAUAAAUGAUUUUCAGCCCUUAGAUCAUCAAGAUUCAACCGUAACCCUGUUGGAUGAAUUCGUGGUCCUGAGUUCGAAUCCCAAAGGUAACUAAAAUUUAUUUUUCGCAAUUCGUAACUCUGUUGGAUAAAUUCAUACGUGUUCUACAUAAAAUUCGUACAUUAAGAAACGUUUAUAUUUUAUACACUUAAGAGUGUUUUUAUUCUAGCCCACACCCCCUAUAUUUGGUGAGACCCGAGGCACGAUCUCGUGCGUUUAUUUUAUCAAUUCUAUGGCUGAUAUUGUAUCUAAAGGAAGAAUUUUUUUUCUUAGGAUUCGAAUUGUGGAGGGAGUGAAAUAUUUUAAAUUUCAUUAUUCAUUAGUAUAUACCGUCUUGUGGCCCUUGUUCAUCAGUAUAUAUGUUUUAUUCAUUGUACUUAGUGUCUCACGAAAAAUAGGGGGUCUCACUGGAGCGCGCCCCAAUAGAUAGGAUGGCCUGUCUAAGUAUUUGCUAGUGUCUUGAGCAUGUCGUAGUUGAUUUCUUGAACUUGUGAGUUUGAUUCCGGGAAUCUGUGGCUAUUUAUGUCUUUGUUUUUGCUGCUCCAUCUUAAACAAUUAAAUCGUACUAUUUGUUCCUUUAAAAAAUAAUAAUAAUAAUAAUAAUAAUAA